rnacentral:rRNA from 1 species
AGAUUGAACGCUGGCGGCAGGCCUAACACAUGCAAGUCGAGCGGUAGAGAGGUGCUUGCAUCUCUUGAGAGCGGCGGACGGGUGAGUAAUGCCUAGGAAUCUGCCUAGUGGUGGGGGAUAACGUUCGGAAACGGACGCUAAUACCGCAUACGUCCUACGGGAGAAAGCGGGGGACCUUCGGGCCUCGCGCCAUUAGAUGAGCCUAGGUCGGAUUAGCUAGUUGGUGAGGUAAUGGCUCACCAAGGCGACGAUCCGUAACUGGUCUGAGAGGAUGAUCAGUCACACUGGAACUGAGACACGGCCCAGACUCCUACGGGAGCAGCAGUGGGGAAUUUUGGACAAGUGGGGAACCCUGAUCCAGCCAUCCCGCGUGUGCGAUGAAGGCCUUCGGUUAGUAACGUCGACUUUUAGGCGAGGAAGAAACGGACGUCGACCGUAACGUACGGUACGUACCGACGU